rnacentral:ncRNA from 1 species
AAGGAAAAAUCUUGGGAGAGUGUAUCAACCAACACCCCAUAAAAGGUGUUGGUUGAUACAGACAGCAGGACGGUGGCCAUGGAAGUCGGAAUCCGCUAAGGAGUGUGUAACAACUCACCUGCCGAAUCAACUAGCCCUGAAAAUGGAUGGCGCUGGAGCGGGUCACCUAUACUCUGCCGUCAUGUGCUUGUACUCUUCUUAGAAGUCUUGCAAUGACG